UACAGAGGGGGCAAGCGUUGUUCGGAAUUACUGGGCGUAAAGGGCGCGUAGGCGGCCUUCUAAGUCAUGCGUGAAAUCCCACGGCUCAACCGUGGAACUGCGUCUGAGACUGGAAGGCUUGAAUUCGGGAGAGGGAUGCGGAAUUCCAGGUGUAGCGGUGAAAUGCGUAGAUAUCUGGAGGAACACCGGUGGCGAAGGCGGCAUCCUGGACCGACAUUGACGCUGAGGCGCGAAAGCCAGGGGAGCAAACGGG
rnacentral:rRNA from 1 species